rnacentral:rRNA from 1 species
UACGGGGGGUGCGAGCGUUGUCCGGAAUCACUGGGCGUAAAGGGCGCGUAGGUGGCGUCGUAAGUCUGUGGUGAAAGCCCGGAGCUCAACUCCGGGUCUGCCGCGGAUACUGCGAGGCUUGAGUGCUGUAGAGGGGGGUAGAAUGCCGGGUGUAGCGGUGGAAUGCGUAGAGAUCCGGCAGAAGACCGGUGGCGAAGGCGGCCCCCUGGGCAGUAACUGACGCUGAGGAGCGAAAGCGUGGGGAGCGAACAGG